CCUACGGGCGGCAGCAGUGAGGAAUAUUGGUCAAUGGGCGGAAGCCUGAACCAGCCAAGUCGCGUGAGGGAUUAAGGCCCUGCGGGUCGUAAACCUCUUUUGCCGGGGAGCAGUGGUCCGGACGCGUCCGGACCGGGAGAGUACCCGGAGAAAAAGCAUCGGCUAACUCCGUGCCAGCAGCCGCGGUAAUACGGAGGAUGCGAGCGUUAUCCGGAUUUAUUGGGUUUAAAGGGUGCGUAGGCGGGCAUUUAAGCCGGCGGUCAAAGGUCGGGGCUCAACCCCGGCCUGCCGGGGGAACUGGGUGCCGUGAGUGGGCGAGAAGUAUGCGGAAUGCGUGGGGUAGCGGUG
rnacentral:rRNA from 1 species